rnacentral:rRNA from 1 species
GACGAACGCUGGCGGCGUGCCUAACACAUGCAAGUCGAGCGGGGAACUGCGGAAUGAAGCUUCGGCAGAAUGAAACAGUUUCUAGCGGCGGACGGGUGAGUAACGCGUGAGCAACCUGCCUAUCACUGGGGAAUAACGCAUCGAAAGGUGUGCUAAUACCGCAUGAGACCACAAUGUCGCAUGACGAAGGGGUCAAAGUAUUUAUUGGUGAUAGAUGGGGCUCGCGUCUGAUUAGCUAGUUGGUGAGGUAACGGCCCACCAAGGCGACGAUCAGUAGCCGACCUGAGAGGGUGAUCGGCCACAUUGGAACUGAGAAACGGUCCAAACUCCUACGGGAGGCAGCAGUGGGGAAUAUUGGGCAAUGGGGGAAACCCUGGACCCAGCAACGCCGCGUCGAAGGAAGAAGGUCUUCGGAUCGUAAACUUCUAUCCUUGGUGAAGAUAAUGACGUAGCCGAGAAGGAAGACCCGGCUAACUACGUGCCAGCAGCCGC